CUUCCAUUCCAUUCCAUUUCAUUCCAUUCCAUUCCAUUCCAUUCCAUUCCAUUCCAUUCCAUUCCAUUCCAUUCCAUUCCAUUCCAUUCCACUCGGUUUGAUUCCAUUUCAUUCCAUUCCUUUCCUUUCCAUUGCAUUCCAUUCCAUUCCAUUCCAUUCCAUUCCAUUCCAUUCCAUUCCAUUCCAUUCCAUUCCACUCGGGUUGAUUCCAUUCCUUUCCUAUCCAUUCUAUUUCAUGCCAUUCCACUCGGGUUGAUUCAAUUCCAUUGUAUUCCAUUCCAUUCCAUUCCAUUCCAUUCCAUUCCAUUCCAUUCCAUUCCAUUC
rnacentral:lncRNA from 1 species